rnacentral:rRNA from 1 species
UGAACGCUAGCGGCAGGCUUAAUACAUGCAAGUCGAGGGGUAGCAUGAUUGUAGCAAUACAGUUGAUGACGACCGGCAAACGGGUGCGGAACACGUACACAACCUUCCUACAAGUGGGGAAUAGCCCAGAGAAAUUUGGAUUAAUACCCCGUAACAUAGCGAUGUGGCAUCACAUUGCUAUUAUAGCUUCGGCGCUUGUUGAUGGGUGUGCGGCUGAUUAGAUAGUUGGCGGGGUAACGGCCCACCAAGUCUACGAUCAGUAGCUGAUGUGAGAGCAUGAUCAGCCACACGGGCACUGAGACACGGGCCCGACUCCUACGGGAGGCAGCAGUAAGGAAUAUUGGACAAUGGACGCAAGUCUGAUCCAGCCAUGCCGCGUGAAGGAUUAAGGUCCUCUGGAUUGUAAACUUCUUUUAUAAGGGACGAAAAAAAGGUCUUUCUAGAUCGUCUGACGGUACCUUAUGAAUAAGCACCGGCUAACUCCGUG